rnacentral:ribozyme from 1 species
GCUGCUUGAAGCUUUGCACACCUCUCCGUGGUGAGCAGCAGGCAACACGGUAAAAAGUAUUGUGACUAAGAAUGUGAAG